AUACUUACCUGGCAGGGGGGAUACCAUGAUCAUGAAGGUGGUUUUCCCAGGGCAAAGCUUAUCCAUUGCACUCCAGAUGUGCUGACCCCUGCGAUUUCCCCAAAUGUGGGAAACUCGACUGUAUAACUAAAAUUUUAAAAAUUUUAA
rnacentral:snRNA from 1 species